GAUUGGUGCUUGCAUCAUGAUUUACAUUUGAGUGAGUGGCGAACUGGUGAGUAACACGUGGGAAACCUGCCCAGAAGCGGGGGAUAACACCUGGAAACAGAUGCUAAUACCGCAUAACAACUUGGACCGCAUGGUCCGAGUUUGAAAGAUGGCUUCGGCUAUCACUUUUGGAUGGUCCCGCGGCGUAUUAGCUAGAUGGUGGGGUAACGGCUCACCAUGGCAAUGAUACGUAGCCGACCUGAGAGGGUAAUCGGCCACAUUGGGACUGAGACACGGCCCAAACUCCUACGGGAGGCAGCAGUAGGGAAUCUUCCACAAUGGACGAAAGUCUGAUGGAGCAACGCCGCGUGAGUGAAGAAGGGUUUCGGCUCGUAAAACUCUGUUGUUAAAGAAGAACAUAUCUGAGAGUAACUGUUCAGGUAUUGACGGUAUUUAACCAGAAAGCCACGGCUAACUACGUGCCAGCAGCCGCGGUAAUACGUAGGUGGCAAGCGUUGUCCGGAUUUAUUGGGCGUAAAGCGAGCGCAGGCGGUUUUUUAAGUCUGAUGUGAAAGCCUUCGGCUCAACCGAAGAAGUGCAUCGGAAACUGGGAAACUUGAGUGCAGAAGAGGACAGUGGAACUCCAUGUGUAGCGGUGAAAUGCGUAGAUAUAUGGAAGAACACCAGUGGCGAAGGCGGCUGUCUGGUCUGUAACUGACGCUGAGGCUCGAAAGUAUGGGUAGCAAACAGGAUUAGAUACCCUGGUAGUCCAUACCGUAAACGAUGAAUGCUAAGUGUUGGAGGGUUUCCGCCCUUCAGUGCUGCAGCUAACGCAUUAAGCAUUCCGCCUGGGGAGUACGGCCGCAAGGCUGAAACUCAAAGGAAUUGACGGGGGCCCGCACAAGCGGUGGAGCAUGUGGUUUAAUUCGAAGCUACGCGAAGAACCUUACCAGGUCUUGACAUACUAUGCAAAUCUAAGAGAUUAGACGUUCCCUUCGGGGACAUGGAUACAGGUGGUGCAUGGUUGUCGUCAGCUCGUGUCGUGAGAUGUUGGGUUAAGUCCCGCAACGAGCGCAACCCUUAUUAUCAGUUGCCAGCAUUAAGUUGGGCACUCUGGUGAGACUGCCGGUGACAAACCGGAGGAAGGUGGGGAUGACGUCAAAUCAUCAUGCCCCUUAUGACCUGGGCUACACACGUGCUACAAUGGAUGGUACAACGAGUUGCGAACUCGCGAGAGUAAGCUAAUCUCUUAAAGCCAUUCUCAGUUCGGAUUGUAGGCUGCAACUCGCCUACAUGAAGUCGGAAUCGCUAGUAAUCGCGGAUCAGCAUGCCGCGGUGAAUACGUUCCCGGGCCUUGUACACACCGCCCGUCACACCAUGAGAGUUUGUAACACCCAAAGUCGGUGGGGUAACCUUUUAGGAACCAGCC
rnacentral:rRNA from 1 species